CUAAGAGGGCCCUAGCGCGUGACCAAACGCCUGUGGAUCUGGAUUGGACUGUGCGGGCAUCCGUGGGCUUCCGUGAACCGUUAACUUCGGCGAGCAGAGAACAUGGCGGCUCCCUUUCCCGAGAGCUCAAAACUGACCUGGGAUGGAAAAGGAUAGUACUGCUCAGCCUAUGGGCCUGUAAUGAGAAGAGAGUGGACCCAGAACCAACUUCUAGACCUGCCAAACAAGAAGAAGCAGGAUGGACUGGACGGGAUUGCCAAAAACAAACUCCAAGGAUCCAGAUUGUGGCAGUGCUGCUAUUUUUCAGAGCCAGCACAUGUCCUUUGGGGAUUACCUGGCAGCUGUUUGGAAACCAGUCUCUUUAAUCCUGCUAUGAUGCCAAGAGGUAGCCCGGCAAUUCAGACCUUGCUUUGCUUGGAGCCGCUUUCUUUUCUGGCCAGCACUGAUGCCUUACAUCGAAGCUGAUGUGACUCAGCACCAAGUUUGGGCACCAAGAGGGUGUUUGUUAACUGGCAGCGCCAAAGAGGUCUCCUUUCCUUCCUCUACAUAAAGUGACUUUGUUUCUGCGCAGUGGUUACUUUGUUGAAAAUUAAGAGUUUUGACAGUUGGGGUGGGGGAAGAGAGUGCUUAAUGCAUGAACUUUACCAAGGUGUGUUUAAGAACACUUUGAACCUUUAGUUUCAUAGAUACCUCUGGUUCCUCUGUUGCUUUAUUAGCAUGGGUUUUAUCCAGAAGGUGGCAUCACAGAACCUGAAUUUCACUCACCAAAGGGUAAGAGAAAUUUACAUCUCUUUGUGAUUAGAAAUUAAGGAUGUAAACUUUAGAUAGCAUGUUGACUUUUCAGAGACUUUUUAUUCAUUCCUGUAAUUGGUUAAAUUACUUUAAAGCUGUGGAAGAUGAGGUCAUGAUGGUUUUCUACCCAGUGGAAACCCGAGGCCUGAGGUAUUUAGAAAAACCCAAACCCAUGUUCCUUCACCAAGUGAUGUGAGCAAGACUGGUUUAUUUACUAAUCAGAAACAGUUGUGAAACUGAACAGUAACUGUGAUGCCUUCUUCCCCUUCCACAUGCACUUGUGCCCACUGCCCAUCAAGGUACUCUUGGGUUCCUUCAUUGGAAGGAGGGAUCGGGAAGGCCUAAAUGGAUGGUUUAAUGGGUAAAUCUGCUGAGUAUUGGCACUUAAAAAUAAGUCGCAAGGUUGAGGACUCUCAAACGGUGAUCUUCUAAUGGGUGACCUUCUCACAAUCAGGACUCUCAGGAAAACAGAAGAUGAUCCUCCUCGGAAUUUGAGCUAGGAUCUGGUUUGCUGCUGCUUUCCCAGGCGUUCAGUGCUAGGCCAGGCAUGUCACUUAGCCUCAUGAGGCAUGUACUCAGUGAAUGUCUGCUCACUGGUAGGAAUAUGAAUGCUUUAUAAAUUCUUGGUUUAAAGUAUUCCUUUGGGUAUAUACCCCAGGCGAGAUUGCUAGAUCAGAUGGUAGGUCUAUUUUUAGUUUGGGGGAGGGACCUUCAUACUGUUUUUGACAGUGGCUGUACCAGUUUCCAUGAGAGAAUGCAUCCUGAACUAAAUGAGUUUCAUGACUGCUUUUCCGGCCGCCUUUGAUUGUCUGUUCUUUUCAGGAGAAGAGCUAUAGAAAUUAGGGGCUGAGACCGGGAAGAGCUUCCCUGAUCAGGAAAGAUGCAACGACUGGGCCUUCCCUGGGCUGCCUAAAGCCCAGAGAUGGGGCUGGGGCUGGGGCUGGGGCUGGGAAGGGUAGCCCUCUGGAGCAAGGCUGUCAGAGCAGGGGGAGAAAGCAGACUGCUGGAGGGCCUGGGCCCUCCGUGUGAAAGGGGUCUUGGACUGUGUGUCUGCAGGCCAGGCCCCUGCCCACUUCCCAACCCUAGUCCUGCCUGGGGUGGGCAGAGCACGGGGCCCAUCAUCGGGGGUGACGUGAGAAUCGGUGGCCUUCUGGGAAAGGGGAGGUUGUUACCAUGGAGGCGUUUCCCCAUCUUCCAGGAGUCCCAGGCAUUUGGGGCUUUGCUGCUGGGGAAGGUCUUGGCGUUUCUGCCUCGUGCUGUGUGGUGCCUUGGCCUGUGACAAGUGGCUCAGGAAAGGGGGCUCUUCACCCACCGGUCCUGUGGCCUAGACCAGGACUCUGGGGCUGUCUCAUGGGAGGCCCAUGCUGACGUUGGUUCUUUCUUGUGAAGAGUCAGGCCUGGUUGCGUGGACGGCUCCACUCUGUGAGCCGAAUUGCACAGAGAGCCUGGCGAAGGUGUGUCGCUGUGCGGGGGUGCUCUUCUGGGUCCCUGUCCAGAUGCCCCUUUCCAUUCCGUGGCUCAGAUGCCCUGGCGGGGCCUGCAGGAGGCACAUAGGGGCGAUGGAGCACCUGGGCUGUGGGAGAUGUUGGGUCUAGGGCAGAAGCAGAGCAUGGCCUGUGGUCAGGACUCCUUGGUGACAGGAAGGAGCUGAGCAGAAGAGUGUCCACUGUGCAUAGCAGUGGCUGGUGGGGAUCCUGAGGAACCACACCCGCACGUGUGGGGAUGUGGCUGGAGCUUCAUCAGAGCAUUUCCAUGUCGCGCCCUGCCCUCUCCUGCUGACUCCUCUGCAUAUUAGUUGGAAGCAAGAGGUCACAUGGGUGCUGUCCGUGUGCAGGAGCUGAAGUGGGGACGUGUGGGAAGCCCCCCUGUUCCGCUUGCCGAAGAGGGCCUACGCCCCCCGGCUGUCGCUGUUCCUUCUGUGUGUAUCUGCUGGGAGGCCUUGAUGCCUGCUGUUCUGGCCCCUGGGCUGUUUUGGUCUUGCUGUCGGGGGAGAUGAGGUUGCAUCAAGGGGCCUUUGUCUGCCCUCCCAAGACAGUGGGGGGUUUGUGUGGCAUGUGUGGGACUGUGUGUGGUCCUGCGCCCCUGGGGGUGGCGGGAGGAUCCAGGAGAUGAGUCUGGGGCAGGGAGGCUGCUCUGGUUUUCUUAUCUCAAGCUUCUGAUUAGCUUCGAUUCCUGAAACACGGAGCCACAGCCUAGGGAGAAAUAAAGUGGUAAUGAGAAUAUAAGCGGGGGCUGCCGGUGGGCAGGACCCAAGGCUUUGGGUGUGCAAGGUGGGGGGGCAUUGCGGCUUCAGGGCUGUUUCUCCUGUCCCCUUUCUUCAUUCUCCCACACACCUUUGGGUCAGUAUAUUUGGGGGACAGAAGAUAACCAUGGGCACUGACGAAUAUGCUAUGAAAAAAUGUGGCUCUCUUGUAAAUUUGAGACAUUUCUUAUGGAACAGGGUUAUUUUCCAUUUUCCAAGUGAAUCGUGCUCUGUCUGCAGCGGAUGACUUUGCUGUCUCAUCCUUAUUCUGUGUUGCCGCAGGCCUGUGAAGGAUGGCCACUGUGACAGGGGAGCCCUUCAUCCUGCUAGACUUUUGCACAGUCUAUAAUCUGAGGGAGUUCUGAGAAGGAACUGCUGUUGCUUAUGCUGUUUUUCUCCGGACAUAUUUCCCUCCUUUUUCCUGUAGCUUUAUGGGCUCUUAGGCAGUGCUUUAUGGUGUCCAUUUCCUCCUGUUCUUUGUGAGGGUCUAGGUGAGUUUCUGAUUUCAGCUCCUCAAGUUGUUCCCUCUUUACCUAGUUCUCACUUAUUGCCAGGGGUUUGGGUGCCAGGUCCUUCAAGGGACAUUCUGGGUUGUCGCAUUACCAAAAAGCUUAUUUAGCUUCAAGAAAAAGAUUUGCAUACAUUGCAAAGAGGCAGAGAAAGAGCUGAUAAGUUUUCCAAGGUGAAUGUUUUAAGGGAAAAGAAAGGCCGUUUCCCUUUUUUCAACAGGGAUUCUUUAACUUUUCUUAUUUUUUUGCCCUUACAACAUGCUCCCAUGAGACACCUGGUCCCCUGGGUAUUGGCACCCUGCUCCCAGUUGCUGAUUCCGGAGCCCUGCCAAAGUCAGGCCUGUGCAGAGGACUUCCUCAGGAGGAGCUCGUGCCAAAAGCACCUGAAGGACAAGUGAUCAGUAUGCGUGACUGCUCAUCCUCUGGGCUGCUUUUACCCGUGCCUCUGUCCUCAGGGGGAGUUCUCUGGGAUCUCUAGGAUCAGUUGGAAUGAGGAUUAAAACUACAGACCUUGUGUUGAGAGGGUGUAAACUGAUACCCUGAUGUCACUGGUGUGUUGGCAGGCGGAGCUGGGCUUUCCCUCUCCUAUCCUCCCUUUCUUGAGUCUCCAGAGGAGCACCUGGCAGAGAUGUCAUCUCUGUGUCUUGGGAUACAUGGGACCUGAUAGAAUAUGUAGUAGGAGGCGAGGACUCAGAUCCCACGUUAUGAAUGUUUAGUGUGCAGCCCUGUCAAACAGGGUGGAAAGAGUGUGCAAAAUGUGUGCCCUCCUAUGUAGCUUGAAUGAUCUCUGAUGCCUCUGGAUUUGAAUUUGCCCUCGCAGCCCUUCAGCUGACACAAUAAAGGGAUUUCCGAGUGUCGCCAGUCAGGCCCCUUCACAGUUUAGAUUUGGGUUGGCCUUCUCAGCUUCCCUUCCCUCUUCUUACUCAUGUGCAGGCCUACUGUACUGCUUCAUAUCAAGUUUGGAUAAGAACAGCAGUGGGCUCUGUUGAAUGAAUCCUAAGGAGAUGCUCUGAUUUGCUCAGUCUGCCCCAGCAGUCAGACAUAGCAGCCUUCCUGAAUGCUGAAAGGCCUGUCGUAGACUCGACUCUAGUGAUUAUAGGUUGUACAGUCAGGGUACUGAGCUACGGGAUGUAGGAUGUAGUUAAAGCUGGGAACCAAGACGUGCGCGUCUCCUCCUGAGCUCAGAGUUUGAAGUAUUGUGUAUAGAAAAAUGUGCUGAGAGUAAAUCUUAUUCUACCUUCUGUCAUGUUCUUAUUACCAAAAAAUAAUAAUAUGAAUUAGUGAGGGUGGAAUGAAACUUAACAGGGGUUGGGUAUGUUUAAGGCAUAGAUUAUGAUGAUGGUUCGUGGAGGUAUACUUAUCUCCAGACUCAUUAAGUUGUAUGUAUUAAGUAUGUGCAGCUUUCUGUAUGUCAGUCAUACCUUCAUAACCUCAAUAAAGUGGUUUAAAAAUAAUAACAAAAAAGACCCUCUUGUGGUUACAGAUGUAUACUCCCCCUCAAGUGUCUUGAGGUUUUAGAACUGAAAGGGAAGAAUGCUUCUACACUGGGAAAUGGGUAAUGCUAUUUACUACUCUGUAUUAUUGUUUUGCCUUGGUUUUUCUAUGUAUGCAUAGCAUUUGCAUUGGCACAUAUAAGGUUAACCUUUAGUCCAUAGGAUUUUGAAUUUUGUAGAAUCACAGUACUUCUGCGAAAGCUGUGAACUUCACCUGGAGGACUUCAGCUCAAGGAGUGGCCUGUGACAUCAGCUAUUUGUCAUUUGACCAGAAAUUGACUUUGGGUCCUGUGCCUUUGGGAAUGGCUUGGACUUUGGGUUGGUUUUGUUUCUUAUAAUAUGUGCUUUUGUGCUUACCUGAGAAAUCUUUUAAAAUGUUUUACACAUGGGGACACGUCAAGGUGUAAAAUAUUUUACAUAUGGGGACACGUCAAGGUGUAAAAUAUUUUACAUGUGGGGACACGUCAAGGUGUAUAUGUACUGUAUCUGUAUCCUAUAGGGUGGAAGGUAGUGUCUCAGGCUGGUUGGUCUCUGCAGCAGGCCUCUUUUCUCUGAGGUCUUCCCACCACCUUCUGUUUUCUGUGUGACUGAGUUCCUUGGCCUUAGCUACUCAGUUUGAUACUUUUCAUCUUAUCCUAGUUGAGCAAACCAUGCUUCUGUUAUAUUUAGAGUUUGGGACUAGAUGCCAAGAAUGGGUGCUAGGCUAGCCUGCAAAGGCUCAUUAAUAACCUUUCACUGCAGAAAAUAUCAUGUAAAAGACAUAUUGUUGGGUUUCCCUGGGUUAUCCUCAUUUCUGUGUCUUUAGAAUGUAUUUGCUGCUUAAGCUUCUUGUAUUUUGUAAAAUACUUGUGUUCUUCCAAUAAAAUUUGUUUCAGAAGA